UACGGGGGGGCAAGCGUUGUUCGGAAUUACUGGGCGUAAAGGGCUCGUAGGCGGCCAACUAAGUCGGACGUGAAAUCCCCAGGCUCAACCUGGGAACUGCGUCCGAUACUGGAUGGCUUGAAUUCGGGAGAGGGAUGCAGAAUUCCAGGUGUAGCGGUGAAAUGCGUAGAUAUCUGGAGGAAUACCGGUGGCGAAGGCGGCAUCCUGGACCGACAUUGACGCUGAGGAGCGAAAGCUAGGGGAGCAAACGGG
rnacentral:rRNA from 1 species